rnacentral:rRNA from 1 species
GACGAACGCUGGCGGCGUGCUUAACACAUGCAAGUCGAACGCUGAAGCUCAGCUUUUGUUGGGUGGAUGAGUGGCGAACGGGUGAGUAACACGUGAGUAACCUGCCCUCUUCUUUGGGAUAACGUCCGGAAACGGGUGCUAAUACUGGAUAUUCUCUGGCCUUCGCAUGGGGGCUGGUGGUAUGGGUUUUUCUGGUGGUGGAUGGGCUCGCGGCCUAUCAGCGUGUUGGUGGGGUGAUGGCCUACCAAGGCUUUGACGGGUAGCCGGCAUGAGAGGGUGACCGGUCACAUUGGGACUGAGAUGCGGCCCAGGCUAGUAAGGGGGGGAGCAGAGGGGAAUAUGGGACAAUGGGCGAAAGACUGAUGCAGCGACGCCGCGGGAGGGAUGGAGGCCUUCGGGUUGUGAACCUCUUUCGCUAAUGGUCAAGCCGCAACAAUGGUUGUGGUGAGGGUAGUGGGUAAAGAAGCGCCGGCUAACUACGUG